GAUGAACGCUGGCGGCGUGCCUAAUACAUGCGAGUCGAGCGAACAGACGAGGAGCUUGCUCCUCUGACGUUAGCGGCGGACGGGUGAGUAACACGUGGAUAACCUACCUAUAAGACUGGGAUAACUUCGGGAAACCGGAGCUAAUACCGGAUAAUAUAUUGAACCGCAUGGUUCAAUAGUGAAAGACGGUUUUGCUGUCACUUAUAGAUGGAUCCGCGCCGCAUUAGCUAGUUGGUAAGGUAACGGCUUACCAAGGCAACGAUGCGUAGCCGACCUGAGAGGGUGAUCGGCCACACGGGAACUGAGACACGGUCCAGACUCCUACGGGAGGCAGCAGUAGGGAAUCUUCCGCAAUGGGCGAAAGCCUGACGGAGCAACGCCGCGGGAGUGAUGAAGGUCUUCGGAUCGUAAAACUCUGUUAUUAGGGAAGAACAAAUGUGUAAGUAACUAUGCACGUCUUGACGGUACCUAAUCAGAAAGCCACGGCUAACUACGU
rnacentral:rRNA from 1 species